GACGAACGCUGGCGGCGCGCUUAACACAUGCAAGUCGAACGGAAAGGCCUGCUUUCCCUUGUGGAUUGCGGGUACUCGAGUGGCGAACGGGUGAGUAACACGUGAGUGAUCUGCCCCCAACUUGGGUAUAAGCCUGGGAAACUGGGUCUAAUUCCCGAUAGGACUGCAGGGUGGUGCCUGUGGUGGAAAACGAUUUUCUAGUGGUUGGGGAUGAGCUCGCGGCCUAUCAGCUUGUUGGUGGGGUAAUGGCCUACCAAGGCGGCGACGGGUAGCCGGCCUGAGAGGGUGGACGGCCACAUUGGGACUGAGAUACGGCCCAGACUCCUACGGGAAGCAGCAGUGGGGAAUAUUGCACAAUGGGCGGAAGCCUGAUGCAGCGACGCCGCGUGGGGGAUGACGGCCUUCGGGUUGUAAACUCCUUUCGACCGCGAGGAAGCCACCUGGUUGGAAGGGUGGUGACGGUAGUGGUAGAAGAAGCACCGGCUAACUACGU
rnacentral:rRNA from 1 species